CAGUAGCCGCGGUAAUACGUAGGUGGCAAGCGUUGUCCGGAAUUACUGGGCGUAAAGGGCUCGCAGGCGGUUUCUUAAGUCCGAUGUGAAAGCCCCCGGCUCAACCGGGGAGGGUCAUUGGAAACUGGGAAACUUGAGUGCAGAAGAGGAGAGUGGAAUACCACGUGUAGCGGUGAAAUGCGUAGAGAUGUGGAGGAACACCAGUGGCGAAGGCGACUCUCUGGUCUGUAACUGACGCUGAGGAGCGAAAGCGUGAGGAGCGAACAGGAUUAGAUACCCCCGUAGUCCCUGUCUCUUAUAA
rnacentral:rRNA from 1 species